rnacentral:lncRNA from 1 species
AUGGGGAGCUCCAGAGGUGCUCACCUGGGCGACACCCAGGCCCCGGGGUGCCGCUGCCUCCACACCAGCUCUGCGGCCUCUGCUACCAUGCUGGGGACGCAAGGUUCCAGCCUCUUUAAACAUCUGAAAGGCGGAACAGAAAGCACAGCUUUGGUGAGCCAGAGAGCCAGCACACACAAGGAUUCAGCACCCUCGACUGCUCUGCCACGGCCGACUCUCACCGGGCCGUGCUGGGAAGGAAGGGCAGAGGAGGCUAGGGACGCGCCGGGGCCGAGCAGGAAUCGUCUUUCUGUCCCAUGAAAAACAAUCCUCCAGCUGGCAUGGUAUUUAACGCCCCUAAUCCUAGUCACUCAGGAGGCUGAAGCAGGAAGAUCCCAAGUUUAAGGAUAGCUUGGGAAACUUAGUGAAACCCUAUCUUAAAAUGAAAAAAGGGCUGUGGAUGGAGCUCAAGGCAAGGCC